CCCACCGCACCUGGUUUACGACACUCCCGGCUUUACGACAUCACCUUCCUUACACCUAGAGGCGCUCGCUCUACGGCCGGAACCUUGUUGCUAGGGACUGGGCGGUUUGCGGCAACCGUGGGCACUGGUGAAUUUGAAUUGAGGGGCGAGGGAAAAGUUUUCCUCAGGUGUGGUGGGGUGAGGGAGGCGGGUGUUGGGAAACCGUGGGGACGUGGUCAGAAAGGCGACGGGCUGUCGGAGUUGGAAAGGGACGCCCGGUUUCCCCCCAAGCGAACCAGGAUGGGAAGUGACUUCAAUGAGAUUGAACUUCAGCUGGACUGAAAGAGAGGCUAGAAGUUCCGCUUGCCAGCAGCCUCGUUAGUAGAGCGGAAUGAGUAAUACCCACACGGUGCUUGUCUCACUUCCCCAUCGGCACCCGGCCCUCACCUGCUGUCACCUCGGCCUCCCCCACCCGGUCCGCCCUCCCCGCCCUCCUCCUCGCGUAGAUCCCUGGGAUCCUAGGCAGCAGGACUCAGAGCUAAGCCUGUAUCCACAGGCCAUGAAUUCCUUCCUAAAUGAGCGGUCAUCGCUGUGCAGGACCUUAAGGCAAGAAGCAUCGGCUGACAGAUGUGAUCUCUGAACCUGACAGAUUGCUGAUUUUAUCUUAUUUUAUCCUUGACUUGGUACAAGUUUGGGGAUUUCUGAAAAGACCACGCAGAUAACCACAAAUAUCAAGAAAGUUGUCUUCAGUGUUCAGUAGAAUUUAGAUUUAGGUUUCCUUCCUGCUUCCCACCUCCUUCGAAUAAGGAAACGUCUUUGGGACCAACUUUAUGGAAUAAAUGAGCUGUAUGCCAAAUAAUAUAGUUAUAAAUUAACAAUGUAGGGGUUAUUGAUAGAGAAACGGAGAAAACUGAAACAUGACCAGAGUAUUGGAAAUAACGUAGUACAUCACCUAGUACAGUGACACAUAAUAGGUGCUCAAUAAAUUUAUGCUUACAAUUUUUGCCACAUCAUGGCAGGAUUUUUUUAUUAGGUUAAAAUUAUCUUUUGAACACUUUCUGGAAUUUUAGAAUAUUCGUUAAUAAUGUCUUCAAACCUUUCAACUGAAAUAAAUUUACAACUGAAGUCUGGUGAUUUAAAGUUAGAAAGUUUAAUCUUGAAUGUAGAUGAACAUUUUCUCUCCCACAUUUUCUUGGGCAUUUUGAGAAGUAAAUGCAUUAUUUAUUGGUCCAUGAAAUGUGACUGUAAAUAUUCUUUGCUAUACACGAUGACUAUAUAUCUGCAUUCAUCCUCAAUGCCAAAACUAGAAUCAUUAGUCUUAAUGAUCAUUUUAAGUACAGGCAGUCCUCGCUGUCCUCGAUACCAUGUUAACCGAAACUUGUGCAUGUCAACACGGUGUCCUUUGCUUGGUUAAGUGUGAGCUCUUCCUCCCUUUUUAAGAGUUGUACAAUGUUUUUCAGUCGCCUACUGAAUCAGGUCAUAGACUAUGGAAUUGCCCCCACAGUAAGGAAAAAAAAAACAAAAAACUUUCCAACUCUAGCACACAUUUUAUCUACUCUUAAACUUAGGAAGUAUUACAAAUAGCAUUUUCUCAUGUUCUCUGGCCUAUACCUCCCCUCUCAGCUUCCUUCAGUGUUCAUUCUCACCUCGUAAAGAGAUGAAGUGAAGAGACAAACAGAAGUCAUUUUCUUCCUUUAGUGGCUUCUGGUUUAGUUAGUUUAGGCCAGACUCUGUGGACAAGUACCUUUUCAGGCAACUUUUUUUUCUUCUUAUUUCUAUGUCCUCAACACCUAGUGGAGUAUGUAGCCAAUAGUAGGUGCUUAAUAAACAUUUCUUAAAUUAAUAUUGUUGACCUUUUCUGACCCUGUUCUUGACAGUAAGAUACAUAAUCUGCCUUCAUCCCCUUAGUCCUUAGGAACAGCCAGAGUCAUGGAUGUGAAAGUGAUUACUGUCAUUAAUAUCCAGACUAAAAUUGCUCGUGAUUUUAGUUUCUCCACAAUCAUUUUCCCUAAACAAUGAACUCUUUUCACCUUAUUUUUAAAAUAUGCACAGUGAAUAUUACUGGUAGCCCAAAUCUUCUAACAUAAAAUUUCCAUUUUGUAAAAGCUUCUGAUAAGUAUGUAGAUUAUGAAUUUAAUGUUUGAUUAUUAUACUGUAAUGUUCUUGAAAAUAUUGAUAUCUGGACUGGAAAGAAAACAGAUGAAAGUAAAUCUCAGAAUAAAUUACUGCUUUAAACAUGA